rnacentral:snoRNA from 1 species
ACAUGCAUUUAAAUUCAUGGGUCCCCUGACCCUCUGGUCCUCUCCUUGUGUCCGAUGCCAGUGCAAACUGUGGCCUUCAACUUUUUCACCUUGGCUGACCCUAUAAGCUGCUAGCAUUGGAGUAGGUUUUACAGUG